AUUGAACGCUGGCGGCAUGCCUUACACAUGCAAGUCGAACGGUAACGGGCCUUCGGGCGCCGACGAGUGGCGAACGGGUGAGUAAUGCAUCGGAACGUACCUUUCAGUGGGGGAUAACGUAGCGAAAGUUACGCUAAUACCGCAUAUUCUGUGAGCAGGAAAGCAGGGGAUCGCAAGACCUUGCGCUGAUUGAGCGGCCGAUGUCAGAUUAGCUAGUUGGUGAGGUAAAGGCUCACCAAGGCGACGAUCUGUAGCGGGUCUGAGAGGAUGAUCCGCCACACUGGAACUGAGACACGGUCCAGACUCCUACGGGAGGCAGCAGUGGGGAAUUUUUGGACAAUGGGGGCAACCCUGAUCCAGCCAUGCCGCGUGAGUGAAGAAGGCCUUC
rnacentral:rRNA from 1 species